rnacentral:rRNA from 1 species
GGACCUGACUGCUAUCGGAUUGAUACUAAGCCAUGCGAGUCAUUGUAGCAAUACAAGGCAUACGGCUCAGUAACGCGUAGUCAACCUAACCUAUGGACGGGAAUAACCUCGGGAAACUGAGAAUAAUGCCCGAUAGAACAUUAUGCCUGGAAUGGUUUAUGUUCCAAAUGAUUUAUCGCCGUAGGAUGGGACUGCGGCCUAUCAGUUUGUUGGUGAGGUAAUGGCCCACCAAGACUAUUACAGGUACGGGCUCUGAGAGGAGUAGCCCGGAGAUGGGUACUGAGACACGGACCCAGGCCCUAUGGGGCGCAGCAGGCGAGAAAACUUUGCAAUGUGCGAAAGCACGACAAGGUUAAUCCGAGUGGUUUCUGCUAAAGAAACCUUUUGUCAGUCCUAGAAACACUGAUGAAUAAGGGGUGGGCGAGUUCUGGUGUCAAGCG